GUUGUGAGCAUGGCUCACCAAGGCUACGAUGGGUAGGGGUUCUUAGUGGAAGAUCCCCCACACUGGCACUGAGAUACGGGCCAGACUCCUACGGGAGGCAGCAGUAGGGAAUAUUGGUCAAUGGGCGAAAGCCUGAACCAGCCAUGCCGCGUGCAGGAUGACAGCUCUCUGAGUUGUAAACUGCUUUUGUACAGGAGCAAAACAAUCCCUGCGGGGGUUCUUGAGAGUACUGUAAGAAUAAGCACCGGCUAAUUCCGUGCCAGCAGCCGCGGUAAUACGGAAGGUGCAAGCGUUAUCCGGUUUUAUUGGGUUUAAAGGGUGCGUAGGCGGCUUAUUAAGUCAGUUGUGAAAUCCUAGUGCUUAACGCUAGAACUGCAAUUGAUACUAUUAGGCUUGAGUUAAGAAUAGGUAA
rnacentral:rRNA from 1 species